UGGGGAAUUUUGGACAAUGGGCGCAAGCCUGAUCCAGCCAUGCCGCGUGCGGGAAGAAGGCCUUCGGGUUGUAAACCGCUUUUGUCAGGGAAGAAAUCUUCUGAGUUAAUACCUCGGGAGGAUGACGGUACCUGAAGAAUAAGCACCGGCUAACUACGUGCCAGCAGCCGCGGUAAUACGUAGGGUGCAAGCGUUAAUCGGAAUUACUGGGCGUAAAGCGUGCGCAGGCGGUUUUGUAAGACAGAGGUGAAAUCCCCGGGCUCAACCUGGGAACUGCCUUUGUGACUGCAAGGCUUGAGUGCGGCAGAGGGGGAUGGAAUUCCGCGUGUAGCAGUGAAAUGCGUAGAUAUGCGGAGGAACACCGAUGGCGAAGGCAAUCCCCUGGGCCUGCACUGACGCUCAUGCACGAAAGCGUGGGGAGCAAACAGGAUUAGAUACCCUGGUAGUCCACGCCCUAAAACGAUGUCAACUGGUUGUUGGGAAGGUUCCUUCUCAGUAACGUAGCUAACGCGUGAAGUUGACCGCCUGGGGAGUACGGCCGCAAGGUUGAAACUUAAAUGAAUUGACGGGGUCAUAGCUGUUU
rnacentral:rRNA from 1 species